rnacentral:rRNA from 1 species
GACAGAGGGUGCGAACGUUGUUCGGAAUUACUGGGCGUAAAGCGCAUGUAGGCGGCAGCGCAAGUCGGGCGUGAAAUCCCACGGGCUCAACCGUGGAAGUGCACUCGAAACUGCGCAGCUAGAGUCCUGGAGAGGAAGGUGGAAUGCUUGGUGUAGAGGUGAAAUUCGUAGAUAUCAAGCGGAACACCGGUGGCGAAGGCGGCCUUCUGGACAGUGACUGACGCUGAGAUGCGAAAGCGUGGGGAGCAAACAGGG